rnacentral:rRNA from 1 species
UACGGAGGGGGCUGGCGUUGUUCGGAAUCACUGGGCGUAAAGCGCACGUAGGCGGCUUUCCAAGUCAGGGGUGAAAUCCCGGGGCUUAACCCCGGAAUUGCCUUUGAAACUGGAUCGCUUGAAUCUGGGAGAGGUGAGUGGAAUUCCGAGUGUAGAGGUGAAAUUCGUAGAUAUUCGGAAGAACACCAGUGGCGAAGGCGGCUCACUGGACCAGUAUUGACGCUGAGGUGCGAAAGCGUGGGGAGCAAACAGG